AGAGUUUGAUCCUGGCUCAGGACGAACGCUGGCGGCGUGCCUAACACAUGCAAGUCGAACGGAGAUACGAUUUCGGUUGUAUCUUAGUGGCGAACGGGUGAGUAACGCGUGAGCAACCUGACUCUUAGAGGGGGAUAACAUCCGGAAACGGGUGCUAAUACCGCAUAGUUUUCUUGAUCGCAUGAUCGAGAAAGGAAAGACGGCCUUUGUGCUGUCGCUUAUGGAUGGACCCGCGGCGUAUUAGUUAGUUGGUGAGGUAAUGGCUCACCAAGACGAUGAUACGUAGCCGACCUGAGAGGGUGAUCGGCCACAUUGGGACUGAGACACGGCCCAAACUCCUACGGGAGGCAGCAGUAGGGAAUCUUCCGCAAUGGACGAAAGUCUGACGGAGCAACGCCGCGUGAGUGAAGAAGGUUUUCGGAUCGUAAAACUCUGUUGUCAGAGAAGAACAAGUCGGAGAGUAACUGCUCCGGCCUUGACGGUAUCUGACCAGAAAGCCACGGCUAACUACGUGCCAACAGCCGCGGUAAUACGUAGGUGGCAAGCGUUGUCCGGAUUUAUUGGGCGUAAGCGAGCGCAGGCGGUUCCUUAAGUCUGAUGUGAAAGCCCACGGCUCACCGUGGAAGGUCAUUGGAAACUGGGAACUUGAGUGCAGAAGAGGAGAGUGGAAUUCCAUGUGUAGCGGUGAAAUGCGUAGAUAUAUGGAGGAACMCAGUGGCGAAGGCGACUCUCUGGUCUGUAACUGACSCUGAGCUCGAAAGCGUGGGGAGCAAACAGAAUAGAUACCCUGUAGUCMMSGCCGUAAACGAUGAGUGCUAAGUGUUGGAGGUUUCCACCUUCRUGGCYGCAGCUAACGCAUAGCMCUCGCCUGGGGAGUACGCCGCAAGGCUGAAACUCAAU
rnacentral:rRNA from 1 species